GUGUUUAGGGGUUCAUAUGGUUCUGUUUGGGACUUGUGAUUUGAUUCAUCUCAUGCCAUUGGUUGUUUAUGCUUUUGUGUGUUGAUUGGAUGUACAUAAGCUAACUUUGUUGUUUUGUUUCAGGAUUGGAUACUUAGCAUUGGUAAUUGGGUUUGUUCUCACUUUGUGAGAUGCAAAUACAUUGAGUACUAACCUAUUGUUGUUUUGUAGGGUUUUAAUUGGUAUGGUGAACUCAUGAGCUCAUUUGAGUGCUAGGGCACUUAUGCACUGAAUUGUGUAACUGUUAG
rnacentral:lncRNA from 1 species